CCGCCGCGCCUCACUCUUCCCCUCUUCGUUCUCCCCAUCUCGCCUCUCUCUCCUUCUGAUGCCACAGGAAAUCCCCAAUUUCUCAAUCCCUAAUAUCUCUUCGCUCUAAAUUCCGGCAAGCCGACUCACCCCCACUACCACCUGCGAUUCUUCCUCUUCGUAUCACGGCCGAAACCGCUGCCCCCUUCCUCCUCCAUGGACCGGUCGAACACAGCCCAAACAUCCCCGUAUCAAGAUUAAACUUGUAAGUUUUUAUUUCAUUCUUCCGUCUUUGUUCCAAGUGAUCGAUCGAUGUAAAGGUCCAUAUGUCUAUCAUCUGUGACAUGAUUUUGUUAUGAUAUCUAUCUGAAAAUAGAUUGUGGUUUCUUCAAAUUGUCCUUAUGCAGUGACAAUGGGUUUCGGUGAUGGAUUUGACUAUGAUUCUGUAUCUGUAGGGAUUGAAUUAUGAAGAACUGAAUUGAGAGUAUAAGCGGAAGAAACUAUGAUAGAGGGGUGGGGAGUAAUCUCAUCUCAAGUAAGUGGGGAAGAUUUCCUUAAUGGUGGGAGAACGAGAGAGAGGGAGAGAG
rnacentral:lncRNA from 1 species